rnacentral:rRNA from 1 species
GAUGAACGCUGGCGGCGUGCCUAAUACAUGCAAGUCGAGCGAACGGACGAGAAGCUUGCUUCUCUGAUGUUAGCGGCGGACGGGUGAGUAACACGUGGAUAACCUACCUAUAAGACUGGGAUAACUUCGGGAAACCGGAGCUAAUACCGGAUAAUAUUUUGAACCGCAUGGUUCAAAAGUGAAAGACGGUCUUGCUGUCACUUAUAGAUGGAUCCGCGCUGCAUUAGCUAGUUGGUAAGGUAACGGCUUACCAAGGCAACGAUGCAUAGCCGACCUGAGAGGGUGAUCGGCCACACUGGAACUGAGACACGGUCCAGACUCCUACGGGAGGCAGCAGUAGGGAAUCUUCCGCAAUGGGCGAAAGCCUGACGGAGCAACGCCGCGUGAGUGAUGAAGGUCUUCGGAUCGUAAAACUCUGUUAUUAGGGAAGAACAUAUGUGUAAGUAACUGUGCACAUCUUAACGGUACCUAAUCAGAAAGCCACGGCUAACUACGU